UAAGGAUUUAUGGUCUUUGGGCCCUUUUAUCAGCCAACCAAUGAUCAAUAUAUAAAGAAAUCAAUGUAAAUGGCCAUGGAUUCUUAGGGCAAGACGAUGCGAAAGCAGAAUUAUCAUCGGAUGCAGCGAAUGAUGCUGCAGCACUCAAACUCAGGCAAUGCGUAAACCAGACCAUGGUCGGCCAUUGCAGUGCUGCAGUGGCGAUUGAAUGCUGGCCAUUAAUCGGCUAUGUACGUACACUGAUUACAAUGCUGUCCUGCUGCAGUAGUUGUGGCAUGAAAUGCGUUCGUUAUCUGUGUUUUGUGUGAUUUUCGAUUUUUUUUUUUGCUUUUCGGCCAACCCAGUGGCUAUAGACGUUGACGUCGUAUUCAGCCGCCAAGUAGUGUUUCUGAAUUUCAAAAAAAUAAUACUUUUUUCACUUUUUUUGCGUGUGAUUCCAUAUGGCCGUAUUUGUCUCAUUGCGAGUUACUUUUUUACGCUAUUCUCAAUUGUUUUCAAUUUAAAUUCUGCUUAAGAAAAAAAAAAAUUGAAAUAAAAUCGUGUAUGACCAGCCAGCCAGUCAGCCAGCAAAGCAACCAAUCCAACCAACCAACCAUUGCCGUUGUCUGUUUUGUUGUCGUCGUCGUCGUUGAGUCGCUGUUGUCCAUCCACACUCACUCACGUCGUAUCCGUCAGACAAUGUCCACAGCCAGAAGUCGUAGUCGUCGUUGUAGUCGUCAAAUUGGUGUUGUGGUGUCUCGCGUAGUAGGUCUUAAAUAAUGUUCUCAGAAUGAAAACGCAAUUAUUCGCUCCCGAGCCGUUGUCUCCGAAAGUGGUUUCAAUAAAAAUCCCUCCCAAAAAUUGAAGAAAAAAAAAUUACACAAAAAAUCCAAACCCGAAAUAUCUACAUAAAAUUGAAUUAAUAUCCAAAAAUAAAUACAAAAAAAUUCAGAAAAGAAGAAGAAGAAUUAAAAAAAUAAAAUUUGAAAAAAUCCCAUUCACACUCAAAACAAUUAACGCAAAAAUUAUCUUUAAAACAAAUAAACAAAAUAAAGAAAGGUAAUUUACCUGAAAUUUUGUUAAACAAAAAAUUUAAGAAAAAAUCGAAGAAAAAAAUACAAAAAAAAAAAAAAUAACAACCAACAGGAAAACAAUUAAAAAAAAAACAAAUAAUAAAAAAUAAUUAAGUGACAAAAAUAUUGAUGUGCCAAAAUAAUAUUAAUUCUCAGAAUUUAAGUGGUAUUUGAAAAAAAAAAACUGUGAAAAUUUUGUGCCAAAAUAAUAAUAAUUCUCAGAAUUUAAGUGAGAUUUGGAAAAAAGAACAAACAGUGAAAAUUUUUGAAGAUAUUUCUUUUAAAAAGAUAUUAAUACAAUAUUGUAAUAAAUAUUUAAAAAUAAAAAGAAUAAUAAAUAUAAAACAAAUACAAAUUUUUUUUAUAGGUUGGUGUGUGUUUGAAAAUCAAAUAAAAAAAUAAAAUUUAUAGGAAAAAAAAAAUUAAAAAAAAAAUUCAACUCAAGAAUAAAAACCCCAGAAAAAACGUAAAAAAUUAUUUUAAGAAGACAAAAAAAUUAAAACUACUCUUCAACGAUUUUCAAAACAACUAUAUAUUGAGAUUUCCAGAUACACAAAACUCAGGCGAUCACUGAUGAUGACAUAUAUCUUCUGAUUUCGAUUGUUAAAACUUCAUACUGCCGUAAUCAACAAAUCUACCUCAAAACUCGCGUUCGAUUACAAUAAAAUUAAAAUCUUAAAUAACAACAACAAAAGCAUGUUCUAAACUCUAGGAACAUGGAUUUCAAAUCAAUAUAGAAAAUCGCAAAACAAAACUUAGGGAACAACACACUGCAACCAAUCACA